UUUUUUUUGUCUUUUUUUUUUGGUUUUAA
rnacentral:sRNA from 1 species